rnacentral:lncRNA from 1 species
CCACCUUCUAGGAAUGACUCUGUUUGAAUUAGACCUCGAAUUAUCAUACUAAUAGUACAAGUUACCAAGGAAGUCCUGUCUUAAGUCAUUAACAUUUCUCUAGUAACAUGAUCUGGAAUUGGUUGAUCGGCUAGUUCCUCCAAUGCAUCAAUGUCGUCGUCACUAAAAUCUUGCAACAUUUCAUCAAUAUCAUUUUCAAAUUGGGUCGGUAAAGGUGGACGUUCAUAACUCCUUC